UACGGAGGGUGCAAGCGUUAUCCGGAUUCACUGGGUUUAAAGGGUGCGUAGGUGGGCAGGUAAGUCCGUGGUGAAAUCUCUGAGCUUAACUCAGAAACUGCCAUGGAUACUAUUUGUCUUGAAUGUUGUGGAGGUAAGCGGAAUAUGUCAUGUAGCGGUGAAAUGCUUAGAUAUGACAUAGAACACCAAUUGCGAAGGCAGCUUACUACACAAAUAUUGACGCUGAGGCACGAAAGCGUGGGGAUCAAACAGG
rnacentral:rRNA from 1 species